UAAAGAAAAGUGGUCACAAAAUGCAACACACCUUAAAAUAUCAAAGUGAUUUAUAAACUAAUCAUUUAAUCAUAAAUUCAUGUUUACAAAAGGCUUUUUAAGCUGAGGAAUGUUAAUUGUGAAUGAUAACAAUUUUAAAACCUGUGAAAAACUUCCUGUAAAUCAAAAAUUGCUCAAAUUUCCUGGAAACAAAAUCAAAAGCUAUCAAUACACAUUCGGAAAUCAAUUAAUUUGCACAUAGGCACAUCACAUAUUUAAUGAUAAUUUUGAAAACACGUAAAACACCAGACCUGAUGUGCUCAUGAUGUGAUAUUUGCCAGAGCUGCGCCCCAGUCAGCCGACCUGCCAUAUAAAGUGCUUAUUCCGGCGAAAAUGUUAUAUCCAACCUGCUAAGUGGGAAGGCCAACACACAAGUCAUCUACGAUAAUCAUAAGGAGAUCCAGAGAUCCGAGCUUACGUGACGGAUUCGACAUGCAUUUGAUCGGCAAUGAAAAGGAAAUGAAUCAAUGUCCCAGCAGCAGAACCAUCGAUCUGUCAGCCUCCAAAAACUGCAGCACCUCGUCCACGGACUCCGGGGUUAUACUGAUUGAUAAUGUGGCGUCAUUCCGGCCGGAUAAGAAGACCAAAGAGGCGGCUGAGCCACACAGCAAAUCAAAGGCGGAAGAGAAGACGGAUACGAGGGAUACAGCGGACGCGACGGAGGCCAAGCGUAUCAGCAUCGAACAUACUGUGAAUAUAACCAAGGCAGGAGGAAAGUCUUCAUCUUCGCCGACGGUCUCCAUACGGAGCACCACCAUAUCGGUGGUGUCCAUCGAUGAGAAUGCCAUCGACUCCAGUUGUAUUGACAGUGAUUCGGAGGCCGAUCCGGAGGACUUUACGGUCCAGAAGCUGGGUCACCAGGUCACCUACCCGCCCAACAGUUCCCACCUGCGCGACCUCAAUCAGGGUCUCACGGUGCUAAGUCGCCAGGUGGCGAUACCCAGUCAGUCGGAAGUACCACCGCCCACGCCCUUGGAGGCAGGCGUGGUAGCCAAGCAGAUCCUCAAUGGUAAUCUGGCACUGGCCACGCCCACAGCAGCGGGCGGAGGAGCCACCCAGGGAAUUGGUAGCAUCGCUUUGACCAACUCCACGGACGUGACCUUCGGUGACAAGCAUUUCUACGAGGGACCCGUUACGAUACAGCAGUUCCUUAUCGACAAUCGGGACAAGUGGAAACCAGGCGAGGGCCCAGGAGGCGGUCAGGAUAAUCCAGCCUUCAAUGGGGGAACGACGGCCAAUGGCAAUGCUCCGGGCUCAAAACUUGAUGAUCCUGCUCAAACGCCACCCUUCUGCCCGUUCCUGCCCAACACUAUUGGGCGCAAGGCCUUCACAAUAGCGGUGGCAUUCGUGAUGCUGACCACACUUCUGGUCAUUGUGCUGGGCACCACCACAAACAUCUUCGGCAAGACGUUGAACCAAAGUAAGCUCAGCGAUGUCGACGAUUCCAGACAAAAUAUUCCAAUCAAUUCAACAAUAGACGACGAUGUCAUCAAUAAUGGCUCCCUGGUCAUUGUUAAGGUCGCCCAGUGGGGCGGUAGACCAGCCAAGAAAAAGCUUGAUCCGUUGGAACUGCCCGCACAACGAGUUAUUAUCUCGCACACCGCUGCCUAUGGCUGCGAUUCACUGGAUAUCUGUUCGACGCGGGCACAGGUGGUCCAGUCCUUCCACAUGGACAGUUGGGGCUGGGACCAUGUGGGUUACAACUUCAUGGUGGGCGGCGACGGGCGUGUGUACGAGGGUCGCGGCUGGGACAACCUUGGAGCCCACACCAAGGGCUAUAAUCACCACAGCAUAGGGAUAUCCUUUCUAGGAACCUACACCAAGGAGAAACCUAUGGAGCGGCAGCUAAAGGCCUGUCAGCUACUGAUCGAGGAGGGUGUGCGACUCAAGAAAGUUGAUCCCAACUACAAGCUUUACGGUCACCGUCAACUCAGCGCCACCGAGAGCCCCGGGGAGAUGCUAUACAAGAUAAUCCAGACAUGGCCUCACUGGUCGAAUGAGAUUAAAUAAGUCAUAUGUAUUAUAUUAAAUAUAAAUAUAUAUUGUAUUCUAGUAAAGAAAGUCUGUAGAAUAAUGACCAAGAAAUGCACUUUAUUCGACUUCAUUGAACCCACUUUUUCCCACAUCAUUCAUGUUGCUGUCAGUUUUCAAAAAGAAGCAAGAACGUGUUCCAGGUUGUUCCUAGGUUGAGUUGAAUGGAAUAUCUAGCUGAUAAUCACAACCGACGAUUCCGAGGUCCGUGUCGAUGGAAAGCUGGUGAUAAUC